rnacentral:rRNA from 1 species
UACAGGGGGGCAAGCGUUGUUCGGAAUUACUGGGCGUAAAGGGUCUGUAGGUGGCCAACUAAGUCAGACGUGAAAUCCCUCAGCUUAACUGGGAACUGCGUCUGAUACUGGACUGGCUCGAGUGUUGGGAGAGGAAUGCGGAAUUCCAGGUGUAGCGGUGAAAUGCGUAGAUAUCUGGAGGAACACCGGUGGCGAAGGCGGCAAUUCUGGACCAUAACUGACAUCUGAGAGACGAAAGCCAGGGAGCAAACGG